UGGAGCAGCUCAGUCGAUAGAGCAUGAGACUCUUAAUCUCAGGGUCGUGCAUUCAAGACUCACACUGGGAAAAA